rnacentral:rRNA from 1 species
GGGGAAUAUUGCGCAAUGGGGGAAACCCUGACGCAGCGACGCCGUGUGAGGGAAGAAGGCUUUCGGGUCGUAAACCUCUGUCGGGAAGGAAGAACCCCCCAGGUCCGAAUAGGGCCUGGGGCUGACGGUACUUCCAAAGGAAGCACCGGCUAACGCCGGGCCAGCAGCCGCGGUAAUACGGAGGGUGCAAGAGUUAAUCGGAAUCACUGGGCGUAAAGCGCGCGUAGGCGGCUUUUUAAGUCGGACGUGAAAGCCCACGGCUUAACCGUGGAGGGUCAUUGGAAACUGGGAGACUUGAGUGCAGAAGAGGAAAGUGGAAUUCCAAGUGUAGCGGUGAAAUGCGUAGAGAUUUGGAGGAACACCAGUGGCGAAGGCGACUUUCUGGUCUGCAACUGACGCUGAGGCGCGAAAGCAUGGGGAGCAAACA